ACGAGUGCCUCAAGCGUUAUCCGGAAUUAUUGGGCGUAAAGGGUGUGUAGGCGGCGAUGUUAGUCUCUCGUUAAAUUCUUCGGCUUAACCGGGGACCUGCGAGGGAAACGGCAUUGCUCGAGAGUGUAAGGGGUCUGCGGAACUCAUAGUGUAGCGGUGAAAUGCGUUGAUAUUAUGGGGAACACCAAAAGCGAAGGCAGCAGACUGGGACACUUCUGACGCUGAAACACGAAAGCGUGGGUCGCGAAUGGGA
rnacentral:rRNA from 1 species